UGGGGAAUAUUGGGCAAUGGGCGCAAGCCUGACCCAGCAACGCCGCGUGAAGGAAGAAGGCUUUCGGGUUGUAAACUUCUUUUGUCAGGGACGAAGCAAGUGACGGUACCUGACGAAUAAGCCACGGCUAACUACGUGCCAGCAGCCGCGGUAAUACGUAGGUGGCAAGCGUUAUCCGGAUUUACUGGGUGUAAAGGGCGUGUAGGCGGGACUGCAAGUCAGAUGUGAAAACCACGGGCUCAACCUGUGGCCUGCAUUUGAAACUGUAGUUCUUGAGUACUGGAGAGGCAGACGGAAUUCCUA
rnacentral:rRNA from 1 species